AGCCAAAAUAAGACACAACAUAAAAAUACCACUAAUAAACAACCCAGCGUCUUUAAGAAUUUAAAUUCCUAAUAUCAUGACAGUGAGCUCUAGGUAAGGAUAUAUUAGCAAGCUUUCUUCUCCAUGAGUGGACAUAAUUUGCUAUUCCUAAGAUGGUAACAUUAGAAUUAUUUUUCAGGAUUCCUGUGGAGCUGUGCUCAUCGUACAUCCAUGUGAACUGCUGUCAUCACUACUGUGUCCAAACCCAGAGGAUGAACUGGAAAAGAAGAGAGGGGGAAAAUAAUAAAAAGAGGAAAUUGGUUUUCACAACACACUCAAAGCCUGAGGAAACGUCUGUUCAUCAAGGCAAACUUGUGAAUCGCGUCUUCUACAGAGUACUUGGUCUGCCCAGAAACGCAAGCCUCAAUGUCUUCUGAAUUCAAGUGGCUCUGCAAGAAGAGGUGAAGGCAGCUAUCCGAGAGCAGGAGUGCGUUCUGUAGGACCCUAUGUAAAAGGGAAAAAGGAGAAAUGAUCGGUGACCAGGGAUGGACAGAGGGUAGGACAGAGAGAAACGCUAAAAAUGUGCCACUGAAGUAAUCUCUUCACUAUGGCAAACUUUGCAUCAAUUAAAGACAUUGCCUAUUAAAAGGAUGAAAGCAUAUGUUAACUUUUAUUCAAUUAUUUGGAAAUUUAGGUGGGUAAAAACAUGAAGCUAAUAGUUAAGAACAUCUGUUAAAAGAAUAACUUCAAGGACAUUUCUUCAAUUUAACCAUCUGUUGUGACCAUGUGGAUUAAUUAUGGAAAGAUUUUGCUUAUACUCCUAGAAAUUUAUUUUCCUUAAAAAAAUUUUUUUUACUGCCAACCAGUACGUCUAUUCUGUGAUCUUUAUGGGCUAGGCUGUCAUGAAACAUCAAAACUUUCAACAACUAUUAAAAAUUGUAUUAAAAAGUCAA